rnacentral:rRNA from 1 species
GCAUAUCAAUAAGCGGAGGAAAAGAAACUAACAAGGAUUCCCCUAGUAACUGCGAGUGAAGCGGGAAAAGCUCAAAUUUAAAAUCUGGUAGCCUUCGGUUGCCCGAGUUGUAGUCUGGAGAAGCGUUUUCCGCGCUGGACCGUGUACAAGUCUCUUGGAACAGAGCGUCAUAGAGGGUGAGAAUCCCGUCUUUGACACGGACUACCAGUGCUUUGUGAUGCGCUCUCAAAGAGUCGAGUUGUUUGGGAAUGCAGCUCAAAAUGGGUGGUAAAUUCCAUCUAAAGCUAAAUAUUGGCGAGAGACCGAUAGCGAACAAGUACCGUGAGGGAAAGAUGAAAAGCACUUUGGAAAGAGAGUUAAACAGUACGUGAAAUUGCUGAAAGGGAAACGCUUGAAGUCAGUCGCGUCUUCUAGUACUCAGCCUGCCUUUUGGUUGGUGCAUUUACUAGUCGACGGGCCAGCAUCAGUUUUGGCUGCGGGAUAAAGGUCAGAGGAAUGUGGCACCUUCGGGUGUGUUAUAGCCUCUGGUCAUAUACCGUGGCUGGGACUGAGGAUCUCAGCAUGCCUUUAUGGCGGGGGUUCGCCCACCUUCAUGCUUAGGAUGCUGGCGUAAUGGCUUUAAACGACCCGUCUUGAAACACGGACCAAGGAGUCUAACAUGCCUGCGAGUGUUUGGGUGGAAAACCCGAGCGCGUAAUGAAAGUGAAAGUUGGGAUCUCUGUCGUGGAGAGCACCGACGCCCGGACCAGACCUUCUGUGACGGAUCCGCGGUAGAGCAUGUAUGUUGGGACCCGAAAGAUGGUGAACUAUGCCUGAAUAGGGUGAAGCCAGAGGAAACUCUGGUGGAGGCUCGUAGCGAUUCUGACGUGCAAAUCGAUCGUCAAAUUUGG